rnacentral:rRNA from 1 species
GACAGAGGCCCCAAGCGUUAGGCGGAAUCACUGGGCUUAAAGCGUGUGUAGGCGGAUCGUUAAGUGUCUUGUGAAAUCCCACGGCUCACCCGUGGAACUGCUGGGCAUACUGGCGAUCUUGGGCCAACUAGGGGCAGCCGGAACAAGCGGUGGAGCGGUGAAAUGCGUAGAUAUCGCUUGGAACGCCGAAGGUGAAAACAGGCUGCUGGGUCGUGCCGACGCUGAGACACGAAAGCCAGGGGAGCAAACGGG